rnacentral:rRNA from 1 species
UACAGAGGUCCCAAGCGUUGUUCGGAUUCACUGGGCGUAAAGGGUGCGUAGGCGGUCGGGUAAGUCUGAUGUGAAAUCUCACAGCUUAACUGUGAAACUGCAUUGGAUACUAUCCGGCUUGAGGAAUGGAGGGGAGACUGGAAUACUUGGUGUAGCAGUGAAAUGCGUAGAUAUUGGGAGGAACACCAGUGGCGAAGGCGGCUACCUGGACCGGUUCUGACGCUGAUGCGCGAAAGCGUGGGUAGCAAACAGG